rnacentral:rRNA from 1 species
UACGAAGGGGGGCUAGCGUUGCUCGGAAUCACUGGGCGUAAAGCGCACGUAGGCGGGUCGUUAAGUCAGGGGUGAAAUCCUGGAGCUCAACUCCAGAACUGCCCUUGAUACUGGCGAUCUCGAGUUCGGGAGAGGUGAGUGGAACUGCGAGUGUAGAGGUGAAAUUCGUAGAUAUUCGCAAGAACACCAGUGGCGAAGGCGGCUCACUGGCCCGAUACUGACGCUGAGGUGCGAAAGCGUGGGGAGCGAACAGG